rnacentral:rRNA from 1 species
GAUGAACGCUGGCGGCGUGCCUAAUACAUGCAAGUCGAACGCAUUGUGGUUGAAAUGAUAUGAAGAACUUGUUCAGAUUUGAUUUUCAACAUUGCAAUGAGUGGCGAACGGGUGAGUAACACGUGGGAAACCUACCUCUUAGCAGGGGAUAACAUUUGGAAACAAAUGCUAAUACCGUAUAAUAAUUAAAACCGCAUGGUUUUAGUUUAAAAGAUGGUCUUGCUAUCACUAAGAGAUGGUCCCGCGGUGUAUUAGUUAGUUGGUGAGGUAAUGGCUCACCAAGACAAUGAUACAUAGCCGAGUUGAGAGACUGACCGGCCACAAUGGGACUGAGACACGGCCCAUACUCCUACGGGAGGCAGCAGUAGGGAAUCUUCCACAAUGGACGAAAGUCUGAUGGAGCAACGCCGCGUGUGUGAUGAAGGUUUCGGCUCGUAAAACACUGUUGUAAGAGAAGAAUGACAUUGAGAGUAACUGUUCAAUGUGUGACGGUAUC